UUCAAUACCAAACUUAUUCCUCUCUCACUCCCGAAUCCGGUGGCGAAGCGUCCUCUAAGGGGAAGGAGCUCGCCGAUCACUGAGUGCGUCUCAGGACGAGACGACUGGUUCUGUUUUAGUGGUUUUGGUCGUCAUAGCGAGGCGAAGU